GGACAGGCAAGCCCUAAGCUUGCCCGUUUGGGCAGAGGGAUCCUCCUCCCAUCACCGCUGCUUGUCAAAUAACUGCUGAAGUUGAAGCUUCUGCUGGCUGAACCUAGCAUCUCAGAGCCCAGCCCAGGACGAUCCGUGGAGAGCUACCAGCAGGACUGGAAGUGUGGAGUGCAGCAAGACUUUGGAGCUCUUCUCAGUUCUCUCCACAUGCCCUGGCUUCUGUUGAACUUAGUGCUCUUCUUUUCCUGAUCCCAUCCCCAGCCAGCCUUUCUCUUUAAAAAUACCUCUUUAGAUGAUGUUGAAGAUCCCUUCUAGCCUAAGCCAUUCUAUGGCAUUGCUCUUGUCCUGACUUGCUUCUUGUA